CGGCUACCCGACGCCGACGCCGAAGCCGCCGGCCAAGGGGCCCAAGCCGGAGAAGCCCCCGACCAAGGGCCACGGCCACAAGCCGGAGAAGCCGCCCAAGGAGCACAAGCCGACUCCGCCCACCUACACCCCGAGCCCCAAGCCCACGCCGCCGCCGGCUACUCCCAAGCCGACGCCGCCCACCUACACGCCGAGCCCUAAGCCCAAGUCGCCGGUCUACCCUCCCCCGCCGAAAGCCAGUACUCCUCCGACCUACACCCCGAGCCCCAAGCCUCCGGCGACCAAGCCGCCUACCUACCCGACCCCCAAGCCACCAGCUACCAAGCCUCCGACACCUCCUGUGUACACUCCGAGCCCCAAACCACCGGUUACAAAGCCUCCUACACCCAAGCCGACCCCGCCGGUGUACACGCCGAACCCCAAGCCACCGGUUACCAAGCCUCCGACACACACGCCGAGCCCCAAGCCUCCGACAUCCAAGCCGACUCCGCCGGUGUACACACCGAGCCCCAAGCCACCGAAGCCGUCCCCGCCGACGUACACGCCGACCCCGAAGCCACCGGCUACCAAGCCGCCCACCUCAACUCCGACGCACCCUAAGCCGACGCCGCACACGCCUAUCCCCAAGCCCACGCCGCCAACCUACAAGCCGGCACCGAAGCCGACGCCGCCGGCGCCCACCCCGCCGACAUACACGCCGCCGGUGUCGCACAC
rnacentral:lncRNA from 1 species